CCGAAUUUCUGUUUUGGUUGGGCAAUUCAGACUGACAUUUCCAUAAAAUUUCAAAUCAAAUUCGUCAUUUGCAAAAAAUCACACAAUUAAAAAAAGAAAAGAAAGUGAAAUUCUUCAUCUUCCCAUUUUCAGAGUUGCCUAUAUAUUCCUCACUGACCCUCCCCAUCAGCUUCUUCUUCUUCUUCUCUCUCUUUGCUUUGUGUUUUCUUCCCCUAGAAAUACACAUUCUUUGUUUUCAAUCCCUCACUCAUCUGUUAGGUAACUGAAUUUGCAUUUGGUAAUCAAAUUUGCACCAUUGAAACAACAAUACCAAGUUUUGGAGGAGGGCUUAUGUUUGAGAGGAGGUUGAACAUCGCCCUCUGUUCUUUUUUUCACGGUGCCUCCUCUCAGAUCUUUAUUUCUCUCAAGGUUUCGCAUCUGGGUUUUCCUUCAUCGGUGUUGCUGAAUUGAGAAGGAUCGGAUAUCAGUUAAUUGAAUCAAGGAGUACUUGUUUGAAUCUGUGUGUUUGUUUGAAACAUUUUUAGCGAAAGGAAAAAUGCAAUCCGAUAGUGGGAAGUUAUUCAUCGGCGGCAUAUCUUGGGACACAAAUGAAGAGCGUCUGAAAGAGUAUUUCAGUGCUUUUGGGGAGGUGGUAGAAGCAGUGAUCAUGAAGGAUCGAACCACGGGACGUGCUCGUGGAUUUGGUUUUGUAGUUUUUUCUGACCCAGCAGUUGCAGACACUGUCAUAAUGGAAAAGCACAACAUUGAUGGAAGAAUGGUGGAGGCAAAGAAGGCUGUUCCCAGGGAUGAUCAGACCACUUUGAGCAGGAACAGUGGCAGCAUCCAUGGUUCUCCGGGUCCAGGGCGCACAAGAAAAAUUUUUGUUGGAGGUUUAGCAUCUACUGUUACUGAGGGUGAUUUCAAGAAGUACUUUGAACAGUUUGGGACAAUUACAGAUGUUGUGGUAAUGUAUGAUCACAACACUCAGAGGCCGAGAGGCUUUGGAUUCAUCACUUAUGAUUCAGAGGAAGCAGUGGACAAGGUUUUGCUGAAGACAUUUCAUGAACUAAAUGGGAAGAUGGUUGAGGUCAAGCGUGCAGUUCCAAAAGAGUUAUCACCUGGUCCCAGUCGCAGUCCUCUUGGUGGUUACAAUUAUGGUCUGAGUAGGGUCAACAGCUUCCUCACUGGCUAUACCCAGGGGUAUAAUCCAAGUACUGUUGGAGGUUAUGGACUUGGUAGGUUCAGUCCGGUUGCUGGUGGUCGAAGUGGAUUUCCUCCAUUUGGUUCUGGUGGUUAUGGAAUGGGAAUGAACUUUGAGCCAGGGUUGAGCCCAAGCUAUGGAGGAAAUGCAAAUUUUAAUAAUAAUGUGAGCUAUGGACGGGGAUUGAGCCCUUACUUUAUCAAUGAUUCAAAUAGGUUUAGCAACCCCAUUGGAUAUGAAGGCGGUAAUGGAGGAAACUCAUCCUUUUUCAGUUCAGUGACUCGGAAUUUGUGGGGGAAUGGCGGUCUUAAUACAAAUUCUGCAAAUUCCAACACUUACAUGGGUUCAGGAAGUGGCAGCAUUGGAGGAAAUACAUUUGGCAAUGCUGGAGUCAAUUGGCGUUCUACGGCAAUUUCACCUCAAGGGGGAGGAAAUAAUGUCUCCAACAAUAGUGGGAAUCUUGGCUAUGGAGCUGGUGAUAACAGUUAUGGCUUGGGAACCGGAGGCUAUGGAAGAAACAGUGGUGCAGCUGUGGGCCCUACAUCUUCUUUUGCUGCAUCGAAUGGUAGUUAUGAGGCAGCCUUUGCUGACUUCUACAGUGGUGGUUCAGGGUAUGGUGAUCCUACUUGGAGAUCAUCAAAUUCCGAGCGAGAUGGGUCUGGCCCCUUUGGGUAUGGGCUUGGCAGUGCAGCUUCUGAUGUAUCAGCUAAAAGUUCUCCUGGUUAUGUUGGUGGUUAUAGUGUUAAUAAGAGACAGCCAAAUACAGGUGAUGUCCAAUAAUCUUCUGCUCCUUGAUUGGUAUUUGGUAUUCCCUUGGAUUGAAAUUGCUUCUUGAAUGUUGUCUCAGCAGAUGUUCAAGUUCUCUCAGGAAUUGCUGCUUAGGAACAUUUCUGAUAUCACGUCAUAGUAGGCGAAGAUAAUCUGGUGAAGCAGGUGAACUGUGAAUUUUGCAAACCAACGUCAUUCAUACAUCUCAGUAAAAGAAAAUUGGUUAGUAAGAGCUAACUGGGAGUACCUGUUUUGAAGGAUUAAAGUUAGAGAUAGAAGUUCUGUGUUAAUGCUUUUGUUUCGAGUUGCCCUUCUAGGCUUUUUUGUUUUGAUCUUUGAGUGAGAUGUAAAAUCAGAUUGCGGGAUAUAGUCAGAAGUGUAUCAUGCAUCUCCGGUGAGGUGGCGAUACCAAAAGAACAAAAAAAAAACAUAAAGAGAUAGACUGAUAUAUAUUUUAUUUUUUCUACUUUAGAAUUUCAUCUGUAACAUCUCUGGCGAAGUCAUGGGUUCUGGUCAGGGAAUGAUUUUCUUAUUCUUUUUUACCCCAUCAUUUGGUUUGUGAUGUACCUGAGAUUACUGUUUAUUGACUAGUGUGAACAUUUAAGGGUUACCCAGCUAGGGACCCCAUGAAUAAGUUUCGCAUAUUCAGUCUGUUAGUCGU